AGGGAAUCUUCCACAAUGGACGCAAGUCUGAUGGAGCAACGCCGCGUGAGUGAAGAAGGUUUUCGGACCGUAAAGCUCUGUUGUUGGUGAAGAAGGAUAGAGGUAGUAACUGGCCUUUAUUUGACGGUAAUCAACCAGAAAGUCACGGCUAACUACGUGCCAGCAGCCGCGGUAAUACGUAGGUGGCAAGCGUUGUCCGGAUUUAUUGGGCGUAAAGCGAGCGCAGGCGGAAGAAUAAGUCUGAUGUGAAAGCCCUCAGCUUAACCGAGGAAUUGCAUCGGAAACUGUUUUCUUGAGUGCAGAAGAGGAGAGUAGAACUCCAUGUGUAGCGGUGGAAUGCGUAGAUAUAUGGAAGAAUACCAGUGGCGAAGGCGGCUCUCUGGUCUGCAACUGACGCUGAGGCUCGAAAGCAUGGGUAGCGAACAGGAUUAGAUACCCUGGUAGUCCAUGCCGUAAACGAUGAGUGCUAAGUGUUGGGAGGCUUCCGCCUCUCAGUGCUGCAGCUAACGCAUUAAGCACUCCGCCUGGGGGAGUACGACCGCAAGGUUGAAAC
rnacentral:rRNA from 1 species